rnacentral:rRNA from 1 species
CACGUAAGGUGCGAGCGUUGUUCGGAAUUAUUGGGCGUAAAGGGCACGCAGGCGGUGCCGCAAGCUUGGGGUGAAAUCCCGGGGCUCAACCCCGGAACUGCCUUGAGAACUGCGGCGCUAGAGUCAGCGAAGCGAUACCGGAAUUCCAGGUGUAGGGGUGAAAUCUGUAGAUAUCUGGAAGAACACCAAUGGCGAAGGCAGGUAUCGGGCGCAUGACUGACGCUCAGGUGCGAAGGUGCGGGGAGCAAAC